CCCUUAGAUGUUCUGGGCCGCACGCGCGCUACACUGACGAAUGCAACGAGCUUAUAACCUUGGCCGAAAGGUCUGGGUAAUCUCCAAAUUUCGUCGUGAUGGGGAUAGAUUAUUGCAAUUAUUAAUCUUUAACGAGGAAUGCCUAGUAAGCGCAAGUCAUCAGCUUGCGUUGAUUACGUCCCUGCCCUUUGUACACACCGCCCGUCGCUCCUACCGAUUGAAUGGUCCGGUGAAGCGCUCGGACCGCGGCCUCUUGACGGUUUUCCGUCGAUUGGCUGUGGGAAGUUCGUUAAACCUUAUCAUUUAGAGGAAGGAGAANUCGUAACA
rnacentral:rRNA from 1 species